rnacentral:tRNA from 8 species
GCGCUCGUAGCUCAGUUGGAUAGAGCGAUAGCCUCCUAAGCUGUAGGCCGCAGGUUCGAUUCCUGCCGGGCGCACCA